GACGAACCGUCCAACCGUUAUUCGGAAUCACUGGGCUUACAGAGUUCGUAGGCGGUCUGGAAAGUUGGGUGUGAAAUCCCUCGGCCUAACCGAGGAACUGCGCUUGAAACUACCAGACUCGAGGGAGAUAGAGGAAAGCGGAACUGAUGGUGGAGCGGUGAAAUGCGUUGAUAUCAUCAGGAACACCGGUGGCGAAGGCGGCUUUCUGGGUCUUACCUGACGCUGAGGAACGAAAGCCAGGGGAGCGAACGGG
rnacentral:rRNA from 1 species